UACGGAGGAUGCGAGCGUUAUCCGGAUUUAUUGGGUUUACAGAGUGCGUAGGCGGACUGUCAAGUCAGCGGUAAAAUUGAGAGGCUCAACCUCUUCCCGCCGUUGAAACUGGUGGUCUUGAGUGGAUGAGAAGUACGCGGAAUGCGUGGUGUAGCGGUGAAAUGCAUAGAUAUCACGCAGAACUCCGAUUGCGAAGGCAGCGUACCGGCAUCCAACUGACGCUGAGGCACGAAAGCGUGGGGAUCAAACAGG
rnacentral:rRNA from 1 species